rnacentral:rRNA from 1 species
UACAGAGGUCUCAACCGUUGUCCGGAUUCAUUGGGCGUAAAGAGCGUGUAGGCGGCCAGGUAGGUCGGUUGUGAAAACUGGAGGCUCAACCUUCAGAGGUCGACCGAAACCAUCUGGCUAGAGUCCGGGAGAGGAGAGUGGAAUUCCUGGUGUAGCGGUGGAAUGCGCAGAUAUCAGGAGGAACACCAAUAGCGGAGGCAGCUCGCUGGGACGGUACUGACGCUAAGGCGCGAAAGCGUGGGGAGCGAACAGGG